rnacentral:rRNA from 1 species
AAUAAACGCUGGCGGCGUGCCUAACACAUGCAAGUCGAGCGAGAAAGCUCCUUCGGGAGUUAGUAAAGCGGCGAACGGGUGAGCAACACGUGAGAAUCUACCCUUUAGUGAAGAAUACCCUCGAGAAAUCGAGGCUAAUACUGCAUACGUCCCUUCGGGGAGAAAGAUGGCCUCUUUGCUAUCGCUAAAGGAUGAGCUUGCGUACUAUUAGCUAGUUGGCGGGGUAAAGGCCCACCAAGGCAAUGAUGGUUAACCGGCCUGAGAGGGUGUACGGUCACACUGGAACUUAGACACGGUCCAGACUCCUACGGGAGGCAGCAGUGAGGAAUCUUGCGCAAUGGGCGAAAGCCUGACGCAGCGACGCCGCGUGGAGGAUGACGGUUUUCGGAUUGUAAACUCCUGUUAAGCGGGAAGAAAGCCUUGUUUCUAAUACAAGCAAGGUAUGACGGUACCGCUAGAGAAAGCACCGGCUAACUUCGUGCCAGCAGCCGCAGUAAUGUGACG